rnacentral:rRNA from 1 species
AUUGAACGCUGGCGGCAUGCCUUACACAUGCAAGUCGAACGGCAGCACGGGAGCAAUCCUGGUGGCGAGUGGCGAACGGGUGAGUAAAGUAUCGGAACGUGCCCAGUCGUGGGGGAUAACGUAGCGAAAGUUACGCUAAUACCGCAUACGAUCUAUGGAUGGAAGCGGGGGAUCGCAAGACCUCGCGCGAUUGGAGCGGCCGAUAUCAGAUUAGGUAGUUGGUGGGGUAAAGGCUCACCAAGCCGACGAACUGUAGCUGGUCUGAGAGGACGACCAGCCACACUGGGACUGAGACACGGCCCAGACUCCUACGGGAGGCAGCAGUGGGGAAUUUUGGACAAUGGGCGAAAGCCUGAUCCAGCCAUGCCGCGUGCAGGAUGAAGGCCUUCGGGUUGUAAACUGCUUUUGUACGGAACGAAAAGGUUUGGCCUAAUAAGCUGAGCUCAUGACGGUACCGUAAGAAUAAGCACCGGCUAACUACGUGCCAGCAGCCGCGGUAA